rnacentral:rRNA from 1 species
GCGAAAGCGAGUCCGAAUAGGGCGAUUGAGUCGCGUGCUCUAGACCCGAAGCGGAGUGAUCUAUCCAUGGCCAGGGUGAAGCGACGGUAAGACGUCGUGGAGGCCCGAACCCACUUGGGUUAAAAACCGAGGGGAUGAGCUGUGGAUAGGGGUGAAAGGCCAAUCAAACUGAGAGAUAGCUCGUACUCUCCGAAAUGUUUUUAGGAACAGCCUCGUGUUAAAGUGUCAUAGAGGUAGAGCUACUGAUUGGGUAAGGGGGUGUCAAAGCCUACCGAACUCAGACAAACUCCGAAUGCUAUUGACAUGUUCCACGGGAGUGAGGCUUUGGGUGCUAAGGUCCUAAGCCGAGAGGGAAAGAACCCAGACCAUCAGCUAAGGUCCC